CCUACGGGGGGCAGCAGUGGGGAAUAUUGCACAAUGGGGGAAACCCUGAUGCAGCGACGCCGCGUGAGUGAAGAAGUAAUUCGUUAUGUAAAGCUCUAUCAGCAGGGAAGAAAAUGACGGUACCUGAGUAAGAAGCCCCGGCUAACUACGUGCCAGCAGCCGCGGUAAUACGUAGGGGGCAAGCGUUAUCCGGAUUUACUGGGUGUAAAGGGAGCGUAGACGGCAGUGCAAGUCUGGAGUGAAAGGCGGGGGCUCAACCCCCGGACUGCUCUGGAAACUGUACGGCUGGAGUGCAGGAGAGGUAA
rnacentral:rRNA from 1 species